ensembl:snRNA U1 U1 spliceosomal RNA
AUACUUACCUGGCAGGGGUGAUACCAUGAUCACGAAGGUGGUUCACCCAGGGUGCGGCUCUGCCAUUGCACUUGGGUGGUGCUGACCCUUGUGAAUUCCCCAAACGCGGGAAUCUCGACUGCAUAAUUUCUGGUAGUGGGGGACUGCGUUCGCGCUCUCCCCUG